CCUAACACAUGCAAGUCGAACGGUAACAGGAAGAAGCUUGCUUCUUUGCUGACGAGUGGCGGACGGGUGAGUAAUGUCUGGGAAACUGCCUGAUGGAGGGGGAUAACUACUGGAAACGGUAGCUAAUACCGCAUAACGUCGCAAGACCAAAGAGGGGGACCUUCGGGCCUCUUGCCAUCGGAUGUGCCCAGAUGGGAUUAGCUAGUAGGUGGGGUAACGGCUCACCUAGGCGACGAUCCCUAGCUGGUCUGAGAGGAUGACCAGCCACACUGGAACUGAGACACGGUCCAGACUCCUACGGGAGGCAGCAGUGGGGAAUAUUGCACAAUGGGCGCAAGCCUGAUGCAGCCAUGCCGCGUGUAUGAAGAAGGCCUUCGGGUCGUA
rnacentral:rRNA from 1 species